rnacentral:rRNA from 1 species
AGAGCGAACGCUGGCGGCAGGCCUAACACAUGCAAGUCGAACGGACUCUUCGGAGUUAGUGGCGGACGGGUGAGUAACACGUGGGAACGUGCCUUUAGGUUCGGAAUAGCUCCUGGAAACGGGUGGUAAUGCCGAAUGUGCCCUUCGGGGGAAAGAUUUAUCGCCUUUAGAGCGGCCCGCGUCUGAUUAACUAGUUGGUGAGGUAAAGGCUCACCAAGGCUACGAUCAGUAGCUGGUCUGAGAGGAUGACCAGCCACAUUGGGACUGAGACACGGCCCAAACUCCUACGGGAGGCAGCAGUGGGGAAUCUUGCGCAAUGGGCGAAAGCCUGACGCAGCCAUGCCGCGUGAAUGAUGAAGGUCUUAGGAUUGUAAAUUCUUUCAGUAGGGACGAUAAUGACGGUACCUACAGAAGAACGCCCGGCUAACUUCGUGCCAGCAGCCGC